GGCAAAAUUCUCAAGAAUUUCUCCAUUUUAGUGAAGAUAUAAGGUGAAUGAAGCUCUCUAUCUAAUGUCAAACUUCACCUAGAAGGCAUGUAUGAAAUUUAAUUUUGUUGCACAAAAAGCUGUGACAGCAGAGUAAGUUGGCACAAUCAAAACGGCAAAUGCGAGUUUGUACAUAGCUACUGAUAUCUCUAAGGGUAGGUAUUUAAACCUUACAGUUCUGGAAGUAGGCAUAGGCCUACCCCAGAACUGUAGGGAUUAUCUGUUUCCUUGCUCAAUGCUCAGUCCCAUGAACAGAGCCUGGUAGACAAUGAACCCCAUAGCCCCAUAAAUAGCACCCAGGACAAGGUACUGGACUGCCUCCAGACCCUGGGCCCCACACUCGUGUGAUAAACAGUGGUCGGACGUCAAAGAAAUUCGUUUUUGAAAUGUGUUCUUUUUUCCCAAUCUAACCCUAUCUAUCCCUAUGAAACACCAGUUUGAUAGAAAAGGGUCCAUUUUGCACUUGAGAAAAAAGAUCAGAAAUCUAGCCAAAUUUCAGAGCUUCGUAACAGGUGAAUGAAAUAGAAAUUUUUCAAUCAGAAUACUUGGAGUUUGAUAAUAUUUCAGUUAUGUUGAAAUUUGAGGUAAAAAUACUGCUCCAGCAAGAUAGAGAAUCAAAGUUAAAGCAGGUCAAUAAUAUAUGAAGGGUGAUGCUGUGACAGCAAUAAAAUCUGAAGAGAUUCAUUUUUUUCAUUGUAGGAAGAGGUCAGAUUAAGUGAAGAUCAUGGAGCAAGUAGUGGCUGAUGUUUGGGCAGCAUCACCAAAGAGAGCCGAACCUGACUGGGACGAGUUCGACCACACAGAGAAUGACAGCGAUGACUGUCACACUAGCAGCAGCACAGCAAGUGAAGAGGAGAGAAAAAAGGACGAAGAAGUCAAAAAAUCUGAACGACUAAAAG